rnacentral:rRNA from 1 species
CCUACGGGGAGCAGCAGUGGGGAAUAUUGCACAAUGGGGGAAACCCUGAUGCAGCAACGCCGCGUGAGUGAAGAAGUAUUUCGGUAUGUAAAGCUCUAUCAGCAGGGAAGAAGAUGACGGUACCUGACUAAGAAGCCCCGGCUAACUACGUGCCAGCAGCCGCGGUACUACGUAGGGGGCAAGCGUUAUCCGGAUUUACUGGGUGUAAAGGGAGCGUAGACGGCGAUGCAAGUCUGAAGUGAAAGGCGGGGGCCCAACCCCCGGACUGCUUUGGAAACUGUAUGGCUGGAGUGCAGGAGAGGUAAGUGGAAUUCCUAGUGUAGCGGUGAAAUGCGUAGAUAUUAGGAGGAACACCAGUGGCGAAGGCGGCUUACUGGACUGUAACUGACGUUGAGGCUCGAAAGCGUGGGGAGCAAACAGGAUUAGAUACCCGUGUAGUC